rnacentral:rRNA from 1 species
AGAGUUUGAUCCUGGCUCAGAUUGAACGCUGGCGGCAUGCCUAACACAUGCAAGUCGAACGGGGCACUUCGGUGCCUAGUGGCGGACGGGUGAGUAAGGCGUAGGAAUCUGCCUUGCGGUGGGGGACAACCUGGGGAAACUCAGGCUAAUACCGCAUACGCUCGCGAGAGGAAAGCGGGGGAUCUUCGGACCUCGCGCCGGAAGAAGAGCCUACGUCCGAUUAGCUAGUUGGUAGGGUAAAAGCCUACCAAGGCGACGAUCGGUAGCUGGUCUGAGAGGAUGAUCAGCCACACUGGGACUGAGACACGGCCCAGACUCCUACGGGAGGCAGCAGUGGGGAAUAUUGGACAAUGGGCGCAAGCCUGAUCCAGCAAUGCCGCGUGGGUGAAGAAGGCCUGCGGGUUGUAAAGCCCUUUAAGUGGGGAGGAAUGGUCGGGUGCAAACAGUGCCUGACUUUGACGUUACCCACAGAAUAAGCACCGGCUAACUCCGUGCCAGCAGCCGCGGUAAUAC